GUGACAUAUGAAAGAAGAGAAAGUUUGCAUUUUCCAAGGAUAAAAGAUGUCUAACUGACCUUUUACAGCACUUAUACAAUUAAGACAUUUACCCUUCUCUGGUAUCUAACCAAGUUUGGUU
rnacentral:ncRNA from 1 species